rnacentral:rRNA from 1 species
GGAAUAUUAGUAAUGGGCGACAGCCUGAACUAGCAACGCCGCGUGUGCGAAGAAGGCCUUCGGGUUGUAAAGCACUUUUUGAGAGGAUGAGGAAGGACGGUACUCUCAGAAUAAGUCUCGGCUAACUACGUGCCAGCAGCCGCGGUAACACGUAGGAGGCGAACGUUAUCCGGAUUUACUGGGCGUAAAGCGCGUGUAGGUGGUUUGGUAAGUAGGGCGUGAAAGCUCCUGGCUCAACUGGGAGAGGCCGUUCUAAACUGCCGAACUAGAGGAUGGUAGAGGGAGGUGGAAUUCCGGGUGUAGCGGUGGAAUGCGCAGAUAUCCGGAGGAACACCAGUGGCGAAAGCGGCCUCCUGGACCAUUCCUGACACUCAGACGCGAAAGCUAGGGUAGCAAACG